rnacentral:ncRNA from 1 species
AGGAGCGCAGUGAGGUGAAAGUCUCAUGCUGCGUUCUGAAGACGAGUCGCUUUGGUGACGAGGUGACUUAGUUUAAC